CCUACGGGAGGCAGCAGUGAGGAAUAUUGGUCAAUGGACGCAAGUCUGAACCAGCCAUGCCGCGUGCAGGAAGAAGGUUCUAUGCAUUGUAAACUGCUUUUAUACGGGGGUAAUUCCAGAUACGUGUAUCUUUCUGAACGUACCUUAUGAAUAAGGAUCGGCUAACCCCGUGCCAGCAGCCGCGGUAAUACGGAGGAUCCGAGCGUUAUCCGGAUUUAUUGGGUUUAAAGGGUGCGUAGGCGGUCAGGUAAGUCAGAUGGGAAAGGGCGAGGCUCAACCUCGAAACUGCCUUUGAUACUGGCGGAGUAGAGUGGAGUUGAGGAAGGCGGAAUGUGUGGUGUAGCGGUGAAAUGCUUAGAUAUCACACAGAACACCGAUUGCGAAGGCAGCUUUCUAAGCUAUAACUGACGCUGAGGCACGAAAGCGUGGGGAGCGAACAGGAUUAGAUACCCUGGUAGUC
rnacentral:rRNA from 1 species